CCUACGGGUUGCAGCAGUGGGGAAUAUUGCACAAUGGGCGCAAGCCUGAUGCAGCCAUGCUGCGUGUAUGAAGAAGGCCUUAGGGUUGUAAAGUACUUUCAGUUGGGAGGAAGGCGUUGAUGCUAAUAUCAUCAACGAUUGACGUUACCAACAGAAGAAGCACCGGCUAACUCCGUGCCAGCAGCCGCGGUAAUACGGAGGGUGCAAGCGUUAAUCGGAAUUACUGGGCGUAAAGCGCACGCAGGCGGUUGAUUAAGUUAGAUGUGAAGUCCCCGGGCUUAACCUGGGAAUGGCAUCUAAGACUGGUCAGCUAGAGUCUGUAGAGGGGGGGUAGAAUUCCAUGUGUAGCGGUGAAAUGUGUAGAGAUGUGGAGGAAUACCGGUGGCGAAGGCGGCCCCCUGGACAAAGACUGACGCUCAGGUGCGAAAGCGUGGGGAGCAAACAGGAUUAGGUACCCUUGUAGUC
rnacentral:rRNA from 1 species